GGUGAGGUGAAGAGGGGGUGGCAUUAAAAACCUCAGACUAAACCUAAAGACACACCGACGGGGGAGGCAGAAGGCUUAAUGCUUUGACUCUUUGGCCUCAUUUCCUGCUGGUGACACACUGACAGGCUGACCUGACUCUGUGCUGCCGGGCUGAGCCUCUCAUGAGGAGGAAACUGCAGAUUGUUUCUUUAUUGCAGGCGGGGACAUGUCUCAACAUGCCUGCAUGCACAGCUGAACUACAGCUGAGAGAGGAGGAGGAGGAUGGAUACAGACUCUUGGGCUUACUUCACCUGAUUCCUGAAUCGCCCGGAGAGGUAAUUUUCUUUCUGAAGCGGAGGGCUGAAUGUCUUAAACAGCCUCAGGCACAAAUCAACAUCUUAUCACAGACACCUUAUUCAGAGCGACAGCAGCACAAUGAGCUUUCAGAGCCCUUUUUACUAAUAUUACAAAGUGGCAGCGACUCUA